UUUCAUCACCCUACCAGAUUGCUCU
rnacentral:miRNA from 1 species